AGAGUUUGAUCAUGGCUCAGAACGAACGUUAGCGGCGCGCCUAACACAUGCAAGUCGCACGAGAAAGGGCUUCGGCCCCGGUACAGUGGCGCACGGGUGAGUAACACGUGGGUAACCUGCCCUCGAGCGGGGGAUAACAUUCCGAAAGGAGUGCUAAUACCGCAUAAGACCACGGCCUCGAAAGAGGACGAGGUAAAAGCUGGCCUCUAUACAUAAGCUAGCACUUGAGGAUGGGCCCGCGGCGCAUCAGGUAGUUGGUGAGGUAACGGCUCACCAAGCCAAAGACGCGUAGCUGGUCUGAGAGGAUGAUCAGCCACACUGGAACUGAGACACGGUCCAGACUCCUACGGGAGGCAGCAGUGGGGAAUCUUGCGCAAUGGGCGAAAGCCUGACGCAGCGACGCCGCGUGAGUGAUGAAGGCCUUCGGGUUGUAAAGCUCUGUGGGGCGAGACGAAUAAGUGCAGCCUAAUACGUUGCAUGAUGACGGUAUCGCCUUAGCAAGCACCGGCUAACUCUGUGCCAGCAGCCGCGGUA
rnacentral:rRNA from 1 species